rnacentral:rRNA from 1 species
UACGAAGGGGGCUAGCGUUGUUCGGAAUUACUGGGCGUAAAGCGCACGUAGGCGGAUUUGUAAGUCAGGGGUGAAAUCCCGGGGCUCAACCUCGGAACUGCCUUUGAUACUGCAAGUCUUGAGUCCGGAAGAGGCGAGUGGAAUUCCUAGUGUAGAGGUGAAAUUCGAUAGAUAUUAGGAAGAACACCAGUGGCGAAGGCGGCUCACUGGUCCGGUACUGACGCUGAGGUGCGGAAAGCGUGGGGAGCAAACAGGG